UGCCUUCCACACUGGCCUCACCCCAUCCCUCGAAAAUAACCAUCUUCCUUCGGCAUGGUCAGAACUGAUAAGUUUUGAAUCCCCAGUUAAUGGAAAUCUGCCGCCGAUGUAAUAAAGCCAAUCGAACUGAAUUAUUAAAUCCAGGUUUAAUGAACAGAGCAAAGGAACUCCUGGGUAACCGUCAGGUGGGCAGGAGAAGAAUCACGUGACAAAUAUGGCUACCGGGUCUUAAGUAGCCUAUAGGUGGGGUCUUGAGCAGCUCCAAGGAGGGGCAGACUUUUGGCUGGCUUUCGGAAGGGCGGAGUUUGAAGAGGGCAGCUCCAGGGGAGGGGCGGCCGUUUGGUGCACUGAGGGUGAGGUUUGGAAGGGGAGGAGCUGAGAUCCCAAACAAGGACUGUUUGCUGUUUCGUUCGGCUUCUGACCUGGACUCAUGGAUGAGUUACAAUAAGAACAGCAGCUGCUUUUCUCGCUGUGAGCGAGUGCUCAGGCCCAGGGCGGUGGACAUCAGUCGGCACGGGUUCCGCACAUGACUUCCAGGCCUUCUGUUUGGUCAGCCGCUGCAUCGAGUGCCUUUCUGUGCUCACAGGAAGAACACGAAGCACCCCACCAUCGGAGGGGGUCUGUUACAGAGCCCAGGUGCUUGGGCAGAGCAUCCUUGCCGAGGAGAGCUACUCGCCUCGUGGCCAACUAGGAAGCAGGAGAAAAGAAUCGUGGCUCUUAGCCUGCUUCUCAGGAUGACCCCGAGUGGCUGUAUUUGGCUUGCUCUGUGAGAAGACCUCUGGGGUUCCGAGUGUCUGCUGUCGGCACACUGGGGAGAGCCUUUCAAAACUGGAGUUAAAACAAAACAAAACACCAAAACCGAACAUCUGAUUCAUGGGAGAGAGGUAUGUGGCAGAAGUCUUGUUUCCAGACUGUGUGCAAGCGGAGUCUCUCCCCGACUUCAUUACCUUUAAAGUAAUCAGCAUGUGACGGUUGAAGUCUGUACCCCAGUCUGGUUCCUAAAAAGCUGUGCGACCGUGGACAAGUUCCUUUGCCUCUACCUCAGUUUCCUUACUUGGAAUGUGGAAUCCAUACUAUUCUUUUGUAAUGGAAGUGUCGCAAAUGAAGCCACAAGAAAUGUACUACAAAGCAUCCGAGAGUCCAGCUCCCUUCACUCCCUUCUUCACCGGUCUGUACUUGCUGUUCCUGAUCAAGGUGACAAGACCCAAACAAACGUCUUCUACUCUGGCUCCUGAGCAGCUGACACUUUCCAAAUUGUUUUCUUGCCACCGGAUCCCGCAGAUGCAUACACCGAACAGCUCACGGGCACCGAACAACUCACGGGCACCGAACAAAUCCUCCCCCGGCUCCACCCUUUCUUCUUCCUGUGCUCCGUCCCAGGAAACCGCACCACCAAACCCAUCAGAAACUGGCAACCGAAGAACUCAGAGCGUGGUUCCAACUUCGGGCCACCAGUU